rnacentral:rRNA from 1 species
AUACGUAGGGUGCAAGCGUUAAUCGGAAUUACUGGGCGUAAAGCGUGCGCAGGCGGUUUGGUAAGAAAGAUGUGAAAUCCCAGAGCUUGACUUUGGAACUGCACUUUUAACUACCGAGCUAGAGUGUGUCAGAGGGAGGUGGAAUUCCGCGUGUAGCAGUGAAAUGCGUAGAUAUGCGGAGGAACACCGAUGGCGAAGGCAGCCCCCUGGGAUAACACUGACGCUCAUGCACGAAAGCGUGGGGAGCAAACAGGAUUAGAUACCCUGGUGGUCAGCGCCCUAAACGAUGUCAACUAGCUGUUGGGGCAUUCGGGCCUUGGUAGCGCAGCUAACGCGUGAAGUUGACCGCCUGGGGAGUACGGUCGCAAGAUUAA